UGGACGAAGUUUACGUUUUGUGCCUUGC
rnacentral:sRNA from 1 species